rnacentral:rRNA from 1 species
UACGAAGGGGGCUAGCGUUGCUCGGAAUCACUGGGCGUAAAGCGCACGUAGGCGGAUUGUUAAGUCAGGGGUGAAAUCCUGGAGCUCAACUCCAGAACUGCCUUUGAUACUGGCGAUCUUGAGUUCGGGAGAGGUGGUGGACGUGACGAGUGUGAGGUGAAAUUCGUAGAUAUUCGCAAGAACACCAGUGGCGAAGGCGGCUCACUGGCCCGAUACUGACGCUGAGGUGCGAAAGCGUGGGGAGCAAACAGGG